AAUGUCUAAUGAUUAUUAAAGAGGUGACAGAACGCACAACCGAUUUUACCUUGUUAUAGUUGAAAAACAACAGUUUGGAGGGUAAGUAGGACAUACAUAGAACUUAAAAAUCUCAUUGACACCUCUGUCAUCUGCAAAUCUCACAAUUUGAAACUGCCUCUGAAAACGGGCAGAUCUCAACAAAGCUCAUAGUUGACGUCAAAUAUGUGGCUCCUCCUUAUUUGGCUCUGGUCACUAGUCUUGGUCAUGGCCCCAACGUUUAUAUAGGCUACACCACUGACCUGAGAUCAGCUAGUCUUCUGAAUCUAGGUCACGCAGAUCUCACAAAUUUUAUACAUGGUUCGUCUGCUAUUUCAUUACUAAGUUCACUUCUGAGACGUUUAGAUGCGAGAAAUCACAUCUGAAAUUCACAAAAAUUAAUUAAAUUGAAAUUCAACAAAACUGUUAGCUAAGCUUUGUAAGACCUUAGGGUAGCUGUGAUAUAAGUGCCGUGACGAAAUUCCAACUGUAAAUAUACUAUAGUUAUUCCAGCAGCCGUCAUGCUUCGCACAGCCCCGAGCCCCGGUGGUCCAGUAACCCAGAAAUGGUGACUUUGUCCAGGGUAUGGAGCACAGUGGGCUGUCGCUGUCUCGUCAGAUUGUGUGGCGCUCCUGAAGUCGGACACGUCUUACCAAAUUUGCAAUUAGCAAUCAAUUUUUGUAAAAUGUCCCAUAUUUGAGCUUUAUGUAGUUGAUUUCUGGCAUA